GACGAACGCUGGCGGCGUGCUUAACACAUGCAAGUCGAACGGAAAGGCCCUGCUUGCAGGGUACUCGAGUGGCGAACGGGUGAGUAACACGUGGGUGAUCUGCCCUGCACUUCGGGAUAAGCCUGGGAAACUGGGUCUAAUACCGGAUAGGAGCCAUUUUUAGUGUGAUGGUUGGAAAGUUUUUUCGGUGUAGGAUGAGCUCGCGGCCUAUCAGCUUGUUGGUGGGGUAAUGGCCUACCAAGGCGGCGACGGGUAGCCGGCCUGAGAGGGUGGACGGCCACAUUGGGACUGAGAUACGGCCCAGACUCCUACGGGAGGCAGCAGUGGGGAAUAUUGCACAAUGGGCGCAAGCCUGAUGCAGCGACGCCGCGUGGGGGAUGACGGCCUUCGGGUUGUAAACUCCUUUCGCUAGGGACGAAGCCUUUUGUGACGGUACCUAGAGAAGAAGCACCGGCUAACUACGUG
rnacentral:rRNA from 1 species